rnacentral:rRNA from 1 species
UACGAAGGGGGCUAGCGUUGUUCGGAAUUACUGGGCGUAAAGCGUGCGCAGGCGGCUUCUCAAGUCAGGGGUGAAAGCCCAGAGCUUAACUCUGGAAUUGCCUUUGAUACUGGGUAUCUUGAGUAUGGAAGAGGUAAGUGGAAUUACGAGUGUAGAGGUGAAAUUCGUAGAUAUUCGCAGGAACACCAGUGGCGAAGGCGGCUUACUGGUCCAUAACUGACGCUGAGGUGCGAAAGCGUGGGGAGCAAACAGG